rnacentral:rRNA from 1 species
AACGUAGGGGACAAGCGUUAUCCGGAUUUACUGGGCGUAAAGCGCCCGUAGGCGGCCUGACAAGUUGGACGUGAAAGCUCCUGGCUUAACUGGGAGAGGCCGUUCAAAACUGUCAAGCUAGAGUCUGGAAGAGGAGAGCGGAAUUCCCGGUGUAGUGGUGGAAUGCGUAGAGAUCGGGAGGAACACCAGUGGCGAAAGCGGCUCUCUGGUCCAAAACUGACGCUGAGGGGCGAAAGCCAGGGGAGCAA